rnacentral:tmRNA from 19 species
GUGGAGUGAAAGCUGCUCCGUGAUUCAGGCCGAGAGUGAGUUGUCUCUCGUCAAUCCCCAACUCAAAAAAAAAGUAAAUGCGAACAACAUCGUUCCUUUCGCUCGUAAAGCGGCUCCUGUAGCUGCCUAAAAACCUCUAGCAGGUUUGAGCGGUCUAUAGCUUGACUCCGUUAAAGGCUACAGACAAACCCUCAACGGAUGCUCUAGUAAGGUUUCUCUGGUUACUUGCUAGUUAAGACUCAACCUGAGUAUCCUGUCAUCCGGGAUAAUGGAUGGUCCCCGCCCAGAGGGUUAAAUGGGCUACGCCUGUGAAUGAGCGGUAGGCGAAUACCUCUGC